ensembl:lncRNA
CUACACUCAAAAAAAUGCUGGGUUGUUUCUGUAAACAAAUUGUUGGGUUGAUUGUGCUGGGUCAAAAAGUUGGGUUGUUUGGGGUACUGUAAACACAUUAUUGGGUUGCUCAUGCUGGGUAAAAUGAUUUGUAACGGGGUCAUUCACAAAUAAACAGUUGGUUGGGUUAUUUUGACCCAGCAACUGGUUUAUUACUUUUUCAUUCUUUGCGGAACUUUCUGGAUUCUUCACUUCUGACUGGAGUGGGCAGUGUUUUAUGUGACUGCUGCCACUCAUGGACACGUUUGUGAGAGGAAAAUUGUCUGAAUGGCAGCUUGAAAAUCUUAUAGACACCUUUAAAGCUGCUAAAGAGGAGACAGCUUUGAAGGUCCUGCCAACUCUGCUUCCCCCAUCCAUCUACAGGAGAGGAGGAAAGGUCUUCAGACCCACCACAGAGGAGGCCCAGAAGUCAUUUAUUGACAUGCAACCUGUUGGGACCAACAUGGUUGAAUAUUUAAACCAUGAGAUGACUGGAGCAUUGCUGCACAUUCUGUGCCUCAGUGAUGAGACAAGGGGGACAUCACAGACCUUUGCCAUUAUUCCAGGCCACGCCAUUGAGACUGUGUCUUUG